UACACAGGAAGCCAGGGGCCCAGGCAGCAGUGCAGCCACCUGCUCCUCCUGCAGCGGAAGUUUUCCAGGUGAAGGCGGAACUCCCAACAGAACAAAUCAACUGUUUGCUGAGGAACACGGGAUGAGGGCCCCUGGUGCAUCGGCAAGACUUAACUCGCGACAGGUGGGUUUUACUACAAGAGGACCUAAAUAAAACCAAUGAAGGCUCACUCAGGUGCAAACGGGCUGAAGACAGGCCAGGGGUAGGGUACACGUUACAGAUUAUAGACGCAGGCUCAGUAACUGACCUAACAGUGAUGACUGACUUCUGAUAUUGAGGGGUUUAAUGGACACACAAGAGAGGAAGCAUGAGUCGUUCAAGAGCACCAUUCUGUCUUUGUCUUCAUUAGAACCUCACUUCCUAUCCGAGCCUUUCCACCAAGACAGAUGUACUCUUAGGUUUUAAGGUAAUUUGAAUACCCAUGCUGACGAUGCAGGUGAAAGCUAGCUGUUCUGUUAAAGGGACUUUCUGUUACAUAUGCACACAGCUAAGGAACAAGAAUUACUACCUGAGCUUGCUCUCAGGCCCUUUUACCAUUACCAAUGCUCUUUAUCUCUCCAAGGUUGAACCAAGCUUCUCUCUACUCCCCUGGGCCUGGCUAAGAACAGAGAUGGACCCUAAGCCUUCCUUAAGCAGAUCUCAAGAGCACAGGCUCUCUCCCAUCAGCAUCUCUGGUGACACUUGCUGUACAAGAGCAGCAAGACUUCAGGUCUAUCACGGAAGCAGGGGCUACAUAGCCACGCACUUCCCUACUCCCACACCCUUGUGGGACACAACUUGAAGUGGGCUGCAUUCCACAGCCCAUCACCUGCUAGGACCAUCUCUCUCCUGUCUGUUGCAGAAGACAGCUGUGCACAGGCCCCCAUGGGACCUGGACAAAUAGGAGUCCCAAAAGACGGAGUCUUCAGAAUGCCUGUUAAUCCGUUAUGAUUUAUUAGCUGUACAGCAGUAGAUCCUCCUCCCCAGCCUUCAACCCCAUUACAUAUUUUAUUACAGGUCUCAUGUUGGCAUCCUAAAAUAAUGAAAAAUAUCACACAGUACAGCUAAGUACAAAAAUGCAUCAACCUAGAUUCUGAUAGCUAACUGAUGGCUCUCUUAAAAGCAAUACACAGGAGAAAAAAAGUGUUUGAAAUCAGUCAGACUGAGGCUCUUUAAAAAACACAUAUAAUAUGUGACAAUUCAUGUGCAAGAAUCACUUUUUAAGUUGGUUUGUUUCACAUUAUUAAUAAUUUUUUUUCCAGAUGUGAAGUUUAAAUUACUGACCUACUGAAAUUUUUUGGCCCAGCUUGCCAGGGUUGCUGUGGCCACUCAUAAUCAACUCUUCUGGCUUGAACAGAGAUUUUUAAAAAAAUGUAACAUUCAGCUACAAACAGAGCAAAGAAAAUGUUGAUGAGAAAAUCAUAAAUGAAAUUUAUUUGUUCAAGGUUCAAACGCUGGCUCCAUGAGCUGGAAAUCAGGAUUUUUCACAUGGGUGUCCAUGACUGGCAGGCAACAGGCCCAGUGCCCUCUGCUACAUGAUUGUGAUCCGAGUCAACAUUUACAUACCACUAAGUCUGUGUCUGUGGCACCUUAAUUUG